ACUUUAUAUGUUAGUUAAAUUUAGUUAAAUUUUAAAGAUUUAAUUUGGCGUUGUAUUUUGUUGGGGCGACAGAGGUAUAAAUAAUAUUAACUGCUUAGUAGUAGAACAAUGAUAUUUGGGUAGAAUAGGCGAUCCUUUGUAAAGAAUGAAAGAUUAAGUU
rnacentral:rRNA from 1 species